rnacentral:rRNA from 1 species
UGGGGAAUUUUGCACAAUGGGGGAAACCCUGAUGCAGCGACGCCGCGUGAUUUAGAAGGCCUUCGGGUUGUAAAAAUCUUUUUUAUGGGGUGAAAAUGACAGUACCAUAAGAAUAAGGUCCGGCUAAAUACGUGCCAGCAGCCGCGGUAAUACGUAUGGACCGAGCGUUGUCCGGAAUCAUUGGGCGUAAAGGGUACGUAGGCGGCGCAGUAAGUUAGAAGUGAAAUAAUAUAGCUCAACUAUAUAAAGCUUUUAAAACUGCUAGGCUUGAGAGAUGGAAGGGAAAGUGGAAUUCCUAGUGUAGCGGUGAAAUGCGCGGAUAUUAGGAAGAAUACCGGUGGCGAAGGCGACUUUCUGGACUUGAACUGACGCUGAGGCACGAAAGCGUGGGGGGCAAACAGG